UACGUAGGGGCAAGCGUUGUCCGGAUUAUUGGGCGUAAAGAGCGUGUAGGCGGCUUUACAGGUCCGUUGUGAAACUCGAGGCUCAACCUCGAGACGCCGGUGGAAACCGUAAAGCUAGAGUCCGGAAGAGGAGAGUGGAAUUCCUGGUGUAGCGGUGAAAUGCGCAGAUAUCAGGAGGAACACCGGUGGCGAAGGCGGAUCUCUGGGCCAUACUGACGCUGAGGAGCGAAAGCGUGGGGAGCGAACAGG
rnacentral:rRNA from 1 species